GUAAAAAUGUUGCAGCCAUGAAGCUAUGAUUGGGGAGGCAAAGUCACUGAUUUAUUCCAUUGUUUGUUCUCGAUCACUUCUUGUCACAGAGGUUUAAUAUCAUGGCAAGGAGGUUCAACACUGUUAGUGUAAGAUGUUAGAUCUGCCAUCAUUCAAGCAUUGUCUGGAAUAAGGAAAGGUUGAGAAGGAUUGGGGUAAGCAGAUUGACAGCAAGAUUUUUUGACUCUGGUGACAGUAAAGGUUUAAGCAGAAACAGUACAGGUUAUUUAUUUAUUUAAAU